rnacentral:lncRNA from 1 species
UUUUUGUAUGUUAUCCAUAUAAGGCUCAAAGCUCACCAGGGUUAAUGAUCUAUUGCUAAAGAUAUACAAUUUAGAGUUUAGUCAUACCUAUCAUACUAAAAAUGCACAGUAAAUUUUUCACAUCACACCACAAGACUUUAGUCAAGAGAACUAAGAAAAAUACUCAUAAUUGUAACUCAAAAACCAAAGAAAAAAAUAUGCAUUUUUUUUAAGAAAGCAAACCAAAACCAAAACAGAGAAAAAACAAAGAAAACAAAACAAAUAAAUGGUUCCCUCCCCCACACUUAAAACAUACAUUGUCCUCAAUGAAAGAGCAUAAAUAUAAAAUUAAAACAAAGAAAACAAAACAAAUAAAUGGUUCCCUCCCCCACACUUAAAACAUACAUUGUCCUCAAUGAAAGAGCAUAAAUAUAAAAUAAGAGUGAGA